AGUGAACGCUGGCGGUAGGCCUAACACAUGCAAGUCGAACGGCAGCACAGUAAGAGCUUGCUCUUACGGGUGGCGAGUGGCGGACGGGUGAGGAAUACAUCGGAAUCUACUUUUUCGUGGGGGAUAACGUAGGGAAACUUACGCUAAUACCGCAUACGACCUACGGGUGAAAGCAGGGGAUCUUCGGACCUUGCGCGAUUGAAUGAGCCGGUGUCGGAUUAGCUAGUUGGCGGGGUAAAGGCCCACCAAGGCGACGAUCCGUAGCUGGUCUGAGAGGAGGAUCGGCCACACUGGAACUGGGACACGGUCCAGACUCCUACGGGAGGCAGCAGUGGGGAAUAUUGGACAAUGGGCGCAAGCCUGAUCCAGCCAUACCGCGUGGGUUAAGAAGGCCUUCGGGUUGUAAAGCCCUUUUGUUGGGAAAGAAAAGCAGCAGGUUAAUACCCCGCUGUUCUGACGGUACCUAAAGAAUAAGCACCGGCUAACUUCGUG
rnacentral:rRNA from 1 species